GGUGGACAAUGGUAUUUUUAAAUAUAUAUAUAUAUUUUUUUCAUAAAUAAACAAGUCUUUAAUUUUAAGUUUUAUUACAAUUUUUUUUUUUUUUUUUUUUUGGCAAUGAUUAAUUUUUAUUGUUUAUUGGUUACAAAAGUCUAAUCAUGUAACCCAAAUAAAUAAAUAAAAAGAAAAGAAAAGAAAAAAGAAGAUUUUAUAAAUUCGUUAUAUAUAUAUAUGUAUAUAUAUAUGCAUAUCGGGGCGUGUCCCUCACACCCUUUGAACCUCAGUCUCACCCCCAGCUCUAACGGCUAUAUUUCUCUUUUCUCCUUCUCUUGUUCUCCUUCUUUUUCUUGUCUAGAAUUCUGAGUAGAGGAAAACAAGGCAUUCGAUCAGCGCAGAUUUCAAAAACCAAGGAAUUCGAUCCGGCGAAUAACAAACGUGGUCGUAUCGGAAGCAGGAUUUGUUGAAGAAGGAAAGAUCCAGUCCUCAGAUCCAAACAUCGGCGAGAACUCUCUACUGGGGAAACCUCCGACUCUGGCGGUUCACGUAUGCUUGAUUUUGGGGAAUUAAGCUAUCUUGGAGGAAUACAGGAACAUUGGAAGAUUAGAGUUAUGGAUGGUGUACCUUAAAGUGUAAAGAAUAUGGAAAGUGUGCAGGGGCGGGUGGAGUUUAAAUAUUGUAAAGCCCAUGGAGGCUGUGACCUAUAGACAGAAUAAUUACUUUUAAUAAAAAAUAUAUAUAUAUAAUUUUUUUUGG